GUGAAGGUGUGUUUACGUAGCUCUCACGAAAAUAGGUGAUGCAUUUUUUGAACGGAACAUAAACAUGAAAUAUAUGAAUACGGUGCCCAAGAACCGAACUAACAUCCCACUGCAGCAGAGGAGGCUCUACAGCCCAUUUCGAACCCUGGCCUCUUUUACGAUUACUCUCCAUUGGGCCCGAUGCUAUGGUUCUCGUCUCCAGUUUCUAGCGCCCGCUGUCUUCAUAUCUUCUUCAACAGAAUCCAGGCACCCGAUAGCAGAUUAGUACCUCGGACUUACCUUUGACAGCAAGCUCAACGGGAAACAACAUAUCUUCACGAAAAGGAAACAAAUGGAUCAAAAAAUGAAAGACCUAUACUGGCUCAUAGGAAAAAAAUCUCACCUAUCCAUUGACAACAAGCUGAUAAUAUACAAAGCAGUCAUCAAACCAAUUUGGACAUACGGAACCCAACUCUGGGGAUGCGCCAGCAAAACAAAUACAGAUCUCAUCCAACGAACUCAAUUAAAAAUUCUUCGUCUCAUAGUAAACGCACCAUGGUACGUGUCUAACCACACCAUUCACACCGACCUCAAAACUCCAUACGUCACAGAAGUCAUCAAAGA